rnacentral:rRNA from 1 species
GGGGGGGGGGGGGGGGGGGGGUGGGGGGGGGGGGGCGGAGGGGGGGGGCGGGGGGUUGUGGGGUGCGCGAGUGGCGGGCGGGUGAGUGGCGCGGUGGUAGCCUGCCCUGGACUGUGGGAUAACUGCAGGAAACGGGGGCUAAUCCCGGGUAGGAGCGCCUGCUGCAUGGUGGGGGGUGGAAAGUUUCGGCGGUUGGGGAGUGACUCGCGGCUUAUCAGCUUGUUGGUGGGGUAGUGGCGUACCAAGGCUUUGACGGGUAGCCGGACUGAGCGGGUGACCGGCCACAUUGGGACUGAGAUACGGCACAGACUCCUGCGGGAGGCAGCAGUGGGGAAUAUUGCACAAUGGGCGGAAGCCUGAUGCAGCAACGCCGCGUGCGGGAUGACGGCCUUCGGGUUGUAAACCGCUUUCGCCUGUGACGAAGCGUGAGUGACGGUAAUGGGUAAAGAAGCACCGGCUAACUACGUG